GGACCCGCACAAGUAGUGGAGCAUGUGGUUUAAUUCGAAGAUACGCGCAGAACCUUACCAACACUUGACAUGUUCGUCGCGACUCUAAGAGAUUAGAGUUUUCGGUUCGGCCGGACGAAACACAGGUGCUGCAUGGCUGUCGUCAGCUCGUGUCGUGAGAUGUUGGGUUAAGUCCCGCAACGAGCGCAACCCUCACUUUUAGUUGCCAUCAUUAAGUUGGGCACUCUGAAAGAACUGCCAGUGAUAAGCUGGAGGAAGGCGAGGAUGACGUCAAGUCCUCAUGGCCCUUACGUGUUGGGCUACACACGUGCUACAAUGGCAUUUACAAUAGGAAGCAAGAUGGCGACAUCAAGCAAAUCCUAAAAAAAUGCCUCAGUUCGGAUUGUACUCUGCAACUCGAGUACAUGAAGCUGGAAUUACUAGUAA
rnacentral:rRNA from 1 species